GACUCGACUGCUCGACGACGUGUUUCGUCAGGUGCGACCGAGGCGUGUACACAAAUGUACGCGCGAAUCCGCGUCGACAAAUAAUUGAAAACGCGUUACUAACGGGACAAUGCUCUCGCGGGACCGCCGAUGCGAAAACCAACUCGGCGUCUCGACGCGUCUCGGUUCCGCGAACGCGAAAAUAUUUGAUCACUUGCUCCGUUCGCCGUCGUCUUCUAUUGAAUAAUGCACCGAGACGGACAGUUGAUCAAUUAAUCAACCAUCGGAUAAUCCGUGCUGUCGUGAUCGAUACACGGGCAAAGAUCGAUGCAGGUUAGAACGAUGUGCAGGAUGGCGCAUUCUAAGGGAUGUAUUUAAUCAUUUGUGAACGUUUGCGAUUAUACAGGGUGUGCCAGGUUUUUUGGUAGCAUAUUAUAUCAGCGAAAAUAAGAAACAAAUGUAUCAAGGUAGGUUGUCGUAUAAAUUGGGAAUUUAAUUAUUGGCAAUUUAAUUAAUUUAAAUUGCCAUUGCAGGCUCAGAUAAAAAAGAGAAAAGACGAGA